GAUGAACGCUGGCGGCGUGCCUAAUACAUGCAAGUCGAGCGAACGGACGAGAAGCUUGCUUCUCUGAUGUUAGCGGCGGACGGGUGAGUAACACGUGGAUAACCUACCUAUAAGACUGGGAUAACUUCGGGAAACCGGAGCUAAUACCGGAUAAUAUUUUGAACCGCAUGGUUCAAAAGUGAAAGACGGUCUUGCUGUCACUUAUAGAUGGAUCCGCGCUGCAUUAGCUAGUUGGUAAGGUAACGGCUUACCAAGGCAACGAUGCAUAGCCGACCUGAGAGGGUGAUCGGCCACACUGGAACUGAGACACGGUCCAGACUCCUACGGGAGGCAGCAGUAGGGAAUCUUCCGCAAUGGGCGAAAGCCUGACGGAGCAACGCCGCGUGAGUGAUGAAGGUCUUCGGAUCGUAAAACUCUGUUAUUAGGGAAGAACAUAUGUGUAAGUAACUGUGCACAUCUUGACGGUACCUAAUCAGAAAGCCACGGCUAACUACGUGCCAGCAGCCGCGGUAAUACGUAGGUGGCAAGCGUUAUCCGGAAUUAUUGGGCGUAAAGCGCGCGUAGGCGGUUUUUUAAGUCUGAUGUGAAAGCCCACGGCUCAACCGUGGAGGGUCAUUGGAAACUGGAAAACUUGAGUGCAGAAGAGGAAAGUGGAAUUCCAUGUGUAGCGGUGAAAUGCGCAGAGAUAUGGAGGAACACCAGUGGCGAAGGCGACUUUCUGGUCUGUAACUGACGCUGAUGUGCGAAAGCGUGGGGAUCAAACAGGAUUAGAUACCCUGGUAGUCCACGCCGUAAACGAUGAGUGCUAAGUGUUAGGGGGUUUCCGCCCCUUAGUGCUGCAGCUAACGCAUUAAGCACUCCGCCUGGGGAGUACGACCGCAAGGUUGAAACUCAAAGGAAUUGACGGGGACCCGCACAAGCGGUGGAGCAUGUGGUUUAAUUCGAAGCAACGCGAGGAACCUUACCAAAUCUUGACAUCCUUUGACAACUCUAGAGAUAGAGCCUUCCCCUUCGGGGGACAAAGUGACAGGUGGUGCAUGGUUGUCGUCAGCUCGUGUCGUGAGAUGUUGGGUUAAGUCCCGCAACGAGCGCAACCCUUAAGCUUAGUUGCCAUCAUUAAGUUGGGCACUCUAAGUUGACUGCCGGUGACAAACCGGAGGAAGGUGGGGAUGACGUCAAAUCAUCAUGCCCCUUAUGAUUUGGGCUACACACGUGCUACAAUGGACAAUACAAAGGGCAGCGAAACCGCGAGGUCAAGCAAAUCCCAUAAAGUUGUUCUCAGUUCGGAUUGUAGUCUGCAACUCGACUACAUGAAGCUGGAAUCGCUAGUAAUCGUAGAUCAGCAUGCUACGGUGAAUACGUUCCAGGGUCU
rnacentral:rRNA from 1 species